rnacentral:rRNA from 1 species
AUGUGGCUUGUCAUACAUAAGAAGUGCCUUACGGCAGACAAUCUUCAGAAAAGAGGUUGGCCGUCCAAUCGGGAUUGCACGCUUUGUUCUCUGGAGCCAAAGAGCUGCUCCCACCUUUUUAUUCACUGUAGAUUUACCCAGCAGCUUUGGAAACUCUUCAAACAAUGGUCUACGGUGGAUUUCCCCAUCCCGGACAGCAGCUUUGACGGCACGGAAGACUGGUGGCUGGCGGCAAGGAGGACAAUUCCCAAGCAAGCGCGACGGAACUUUGACACUAUUGUCAUUCUCAUCCAUUGGAGGAUCUGGAAGGAGCGGAAUGCGAGAAUUUUUCAGCAUACUGCUUGUAAUAUGGAGAGGGUCCUAGAUCUUAUCAGAGAAGACAUUGGAAUGUGGAGAUCAGCCGGAUGUGUGACUGAUUUAGUUACUUUGCCUGCGCUCUCUCCGGCGCUUGUAUCCUUUGCUCAUCUGCCGGCAGGCCCAGAUCUCCUGGACUGCUUGUGGUGUUGUAUGGUUGUCGUUGUACUGUUUUUCUCCUUCUAA